CCCUUAGAUGUCCUGGGCCGCACGCGCGCUACACUGAGUGUCUGAGAUAUGAGGCAUGCCUGGUCCGGCAAGGUCUAGGUAAUCACGAAAAGGCACAUCAUGCUUGGGAUUGAUUAUUGCAAAUUUUAAUCAUGAACGAGGAAUUCCUAGUAAACGCAGAUCAUCAAUCUGCAUUGAUUACGUCCCUGCCCUUUGUACACACCGCCCGUCGCACCUACCGAUUGGAUGGUCCGGUGAAGCCUCGGGAUUGUGGUUCUUGCCGCUUUAUUGUGGCGUGACCGCGAGAACUUGUCUAAACCUUAUCAUCUAGAGGAAGGUGAAGUCGUAACA
rnacentral:rRNA from 1 species